UGACCGUACAGGGACAGUAAAUUGGGGAACCAGUAUCCCAUGGGACACACAUCUAAUAACUGUCUCGUGCUCUCAUCUGGACUGCAUACUAAUGUGGAAAACCAUUUUACAGGGUUCCGUCUUAUACAAAAUCAUACUGGUUAGUUGGAAAUCGUUUUGCAAGUUCCUGUCUGAUAUAUAAUUAUAUUGGCAGAUACAUAAACCAUUCUACAAGUUCUCGUCUGACACAUACAUGUAAAUAUACUUGCAGGCAGGAACACCAUUUUGCAAAUUCCAAUCUAACACAUCAUUAAACUGAUAGACUGGGAAGCAUUCUGCAAGUUCCCUACAGUUUUGAAAUAAUUAUUUCAGAAGACAUAGUUGCACAACGGAAGCUGAUUGCGGCCACUGCGCUCAUCACGAACAUGCGCAUUGUGUAGAUGGAACAUGCCAUUGUGCAGGAGGGCACUAGAUUGACUGCAAGUCUUAUAAAAAAAUCUACGUAUAAUAAAGGAAUUGCAAAUUAA